rnacentral:rRNA from 1 species
GACGAACGCUGGCGGCGUGCUUAACACAUGCAAGUCGAGCGGAAAGGCCACUUCGGUGGUACUCGAGCGGCGAACGGGUGAGUAACACGUGAGUAAUCUGCCCUUGGCUUUGGGAUAGCCACCGGAAACGGUGAUUAAUACCGGAUACGACCACUUCUCGCAUGGGAUGGUGGUGGAAAGUUUUUCGGCCAGGGAUGUGCUCGCGGCCUAUCAGCUUGAUGGUGAGGUAAUGGCUCACCAUGGCUUCGACGGGUAGCCGGCCUGAGAGGGUGACCGGUCACACUGGGACUGAGACACGGCCCAGACUCCUACGGGAGGCAGCAGUGGGGAAUAUUGGACAAUGGGCGGAAGCCUGAUCCAGCAACGCCGCGUGAGGGAUGACGGCCUUCGGGUUGUAAACCUCUUUCAGCAGGGACGAAGCGCAAGUGACGGUACCUGCAGAAGAAGCACCGGCCAACUACGUGCCAGCAGCCGCCGUAAGAC